GACGAACGCUGGCGGCGUGCUUAACACAUGCAAGUCGAGCGAUGAAGCUUCUUCGGGAGUGGAUUAGCGGCGGACGGGUGAGUAACACGUGGGUAACCUGCCUCAUAGAGGGGAAUAGCCUUCCGAAAGGAAGAUUAAUACCGCAUAAGAUUGUAAUACCGCAUGGUAUAGCAAUUAAAGGAGUAAUCCGCUAUGAGAUGGACCCGCGUCGCAUUAGCUAGUUGGUGAGGUAACGGCUCACCAAGGCGACGAUGCGUAGCCGACCUGAGAGGGUGAUCGGCCACAUUGGGACUGAGACACGGCCCAGACUCCUACGGGAGGCAGCAGUGGGAAUAUUGCACAAUGGGGGAACCCUGAUGCAGCAACGCCGCGUGAGUGAUGAAGGUCUUCGGAUUGUAAAGCUCUGUCUUUGGGGACGAUAAUGACGGUACCCAAGGAGGAAGCCACGGCUAACUACGUG
rnacentral:rRNA from 1 species